GAUGAACGCUGGCGGCGUGCCUAACACAUGCAAGUCGAACGGAGUCGUUUUGGAAAUCUCUUCGGAGAUGGAAUUCUCGACUUAGUGGCGGACGGGUGAGUAACGCGUGAGCAAUCUGCCUUUAAGAGGGGGAUAACAGUCGGAAACGGCUGCUAAUACCGCAUAAAGCAUUAAAUUCGCAUGUUUUUGAUGCCAAAGGAGCAAUCCGCUUUUAGAUGAGCUCGCGUCUGAUUAGCUAGUUGGCGGGGUAACGGCCCACCAAGGCGACGAUCAGUAGCCGGACUGAGAGGUUGAACGGCCACAUUGGGACUGAGACACGGCCCAGACUCCUACGGGAGGCAGCAGUGGGGAAUAUUGCGCAAUGGGGGAAACCCUGACGCAGCAACGCCGCGUGAUUGAAGAAGGCCUUCGGGUUGUAAAGAUCUUUAAUCAGGGACGAAACAAAUGACGGUACCUGAAGAAUAAGCUCCGGCUAGCUACGUG
rnacentral:rRNA from 1 species